GUGCUCGCUUUAGCAGCACAUAUACUAAAAUUGCAACGAUACAGAGAUUAUCAUGGCCCCUGUGCAAGGAUGACACGCAAAUUCGUAAAGUGUUCCAUAUUAAA
rnacentral:snRNA from 1 species